GGGACUGUGAACAUAUGAAGGGGAAAAAAUGUAGAAUUUUAUUAAGGCUAAAAAUUUUAGCACACAUUAUUUCAGCUUCGUGAGGUUUGUGGUUAGCAUGCAACAAUCCUGUGAAUGUGAACAACAAAGGACUUUUCAUGUUUAUCCAGAAAAAAGCUUUAACUACCACCAAGAAAAAGAUCUUUUCCGUCAUCUGAUAAAUUCACUGGACGUAUAGGUAGAAAGACUAUUGUAGACAUUCUAAUAGACUUCCAAGACUGGACAUGGGACCUAUGACCUGACAAAAAUGAAGACUUAAACUAUGAGGUGAGGAAAUAGUCUCCAGUCUUUGAUUUUUGGAUGGUACUGUGUGGAUCCACGAGUUGGAUUCGAUCCUUGAGGGUCCCUUCCAACUCAGGAGGUUCUGUGAUUCUGUGGUUCUAUGAUCUCAUUCAGGGAGACAAGUUCCCUGGGAAGCUUGUGUGUGGGUGGUGUAUACAAUCACUCCUGAGAGACUUGGCAGUAGGCAGCAAUCCACUGGCUGUGAUGUAGCCUCAAUCCUGCAUUUUGUGGGAUGGACAAUGGACAUGGUACAAAGGAAGAUUAGGGGAAAAAAAUACAGCAAUUCUGUCUUCAUACUUCGCUACUAAAAAAUCCCAGCAGAUGAAGAAGAUGGCCAGGACAGUAAUGAUGAAGAGUGGCAAGGCUCUCUGAAAAUUCAAGCUGCAGGCUGCAAUAACUGCUGCCAAAUCACUGUCAAUAUUGAUGAAUUCAUCCUCCUGGAAAACAGAUCAGUACCGACUGUGAGAGGGAUGCAUGUUUGUAAAGUAACGUGAAAAACAGAGAACCCCACGGGCAGAUGUCUGAAGCACUUUCCCCUUCUCCACUGAGUGCACAGCUCCAGCUCUCCUGUCUGUAACCAACGCUGUCAUAACUAGUAGGCAAAUGAGGUAGUUAAAAGCGUGACUGCCAACUCACCAGUGUUUUGAGUUACAAACUUUCCCAAGCCUUCCACAUGAUUUUGAAAGAGAAAAUAAAGGGAAAAAAAAA